rnacentral:rRNA from 1 species
UACGUAGGUGGCAAGCGUUAUCCGGAAUUAUUGGGCGUAAAGAGCGCGCAGGUGGUUAAUUAAGUCUGAUGUGAAAGCCCACGGCUUAACCGUGGAGGGUCACUGGAAACUGGUUGACUUGAGUGCAGAAGAGGGAAGUGGAAUUCCAUGUGUAGCGGUGAAAUGCGUAGAGAUAUGGAGGAACACCAGUGGCGAAGGCGGCUCCCUGGUCUGCAACUGACACUGAGGCGCGAAAGCGUGGGGAGCAAACAGG